AACGGUUCCGCCAUGGCGGAAUAAUAGGGAAGACGGUUUAAAACCGUCGCAGCCCCGCUACUGUGAUAGGCUACGAAAGUUACAGAAUUGAAACCACUGUCCCGGCUUUCGGGAUGGGAAGGUGUAAUUAGUAGGUUGGAUGCCUUAAGCCAGGAGACCUGCCGUUUGAUUC
rnacentral:ncRNA from 1 species